rnacentral:rRNA from 1 species
GAUGAACGCUGGCGGCGUGCCUAAUACAUGCAAGUCGAACGCAUUGAGAGAAGUGCUUGCACUUUUCAAUUUGAGUGGCGAACGGGUGAGUAACACGUGGGCAACCUACCUGAUAGCGGGGGAUAACGAGUGGAAACAUUCGCUAAUACCGCAUAACAAUAGAGAAGGCAUCUUCUUUAUUUAAAAGGCGCUUUCAAGCGUCACUAUCAGAUGGGCCCGCGGUGCAUGAGUUAGUUGGUGGGGUGAAGGCCUACCAAGACGAUGAUGCAUAGCCGAGUUGAGAGACUGAGCGGCCACAUUGGGACUGAGACACGGCCCAAACUCCUACGGGAGGCUGCAGUAGGGAAUCUUCCACAAUGGACGAAAGUCUGAUGGAGCAACGCCGCGUGUGUGAUGAAGGCUUUCGGGUCGUAAAGCACUGUUGUAUGGGAAGAAAUGCUAGGCUAGGAAAUGAGCUUAGUUUGACGGUACCAUACCAGAAAGGGACGGCUAAAUACGUGCCAGCCGCCGCGGUAA